rnacentral:rRNA from 1 species
GGGGAAUUUUGGACAAUGGGGGCAACCCUGAUCCAGCCAUGCCGCGUGUGUGAAGAAGGCCUUCGGGUUGUAAAGCACUUUCGGCCGGAACGAAAUCGUCCCCGUUAAUACCGGGGAUGGAUGACGGUACCGGCAGAAGAAGCACCGGCUAACUACGUGCCAGCAGCCGCGGUAAUACGUAGGGUGCGAGCGUUAAUCGGAAUUACUGGGCGUAAAGUGUGCGCAGGUGGCCGCGCAAGUCGAGUGUGAAAUCCCCGGGCUUAACUUGGGAAUUGCGCUCGAAACUACGUGGCUAGAGUGUGGCAGAGGGAGGUGGAAUUCCACGUGUAGCGGUGAAAUGCGUAGAGAUGUGGAGGAACACCAAUGGCGAAGGCAGCCUCCUGGGCCAACACUGACACUCAUGCACGAAAGCGUGGGGAGCAA